rnacentral:rRNA from 1 species
CCUUCAUGAAGCCGGAAUUGCUAGUAAUGGCAGGUCAGCAUACUGCCGUGAAUACGUUCCCGGGCCUUGUACACACCGCCCGUCACACCAUGAGAGUUGGGAAUACCCGAAGCCUGUGAGCUAACGUAAGAGGCAGCAGUCGAAGGUAGAAUCAAUGAUUGGGGUGAAGUCGUAACAAGGUAGC